AGCAUACGGGCAAGUCCCUUACGGUCAGCUCCCUUGGAAUCCCCCAGGGUGGGAACGCAGCAAGGGUACAUGGUUGUAGCGACGCGAUAAGGACAGCUUGCCCACCC
rnacentral:SRP_RNA from 1 species